CGUACACCUUUCCACAUGUUUUCAAAAACAUUCUCCCCAUUAAAAGCUUACCUUGAGAAAGAUUGGCCAAAGGAUGUCACCGAAAGCAUUGGGUUUCAGUUUUUCAGAACCUUCAUACCGAAGAUAUAACUUGGAGAGCACCAUGGAACCGUCCUUCAGUUCUAUUAUACAAAUGUGGAAGCCAAGAUUGGGUGCCUUUAC
rnacentral:lncRNA from 1 species